UAGCAUGGAAUAAUAGAAUAGGACUUUGGUUUUAUUUUGUUGGUUAAAGAACCAGAGUAAUGAUAAAUAGGAACAGUUGGGGACAUUAGUAUUCAUAAGUCAGAGGUGAAAUUCUUGGAUUUUAUGAGGACUGACUACUGCGAAAGCAUUUGUCAAGGAUGUUUUCAUUGAUCAGGAACGAAAGUUAGGGGAUCAAAGACGAUCAGAUACCGUCGUAGUCUUGACCAUAAACUAUGCCGACUAGGGAUCGGUCAACGUCUUUUUUGACUUGAUCGGCACCUUAUGAGAAAUCAAAGUUUUUAGGUUUUGGGGGGAGUAUGGUCGCAAGGCUGAAACUUAAAGGAAUUGACGGAAGGGCACCACCAGGAGUGGAGCCUGCGGCUUAAUUUGACUCAACACGGGGAAACUCACCAGGUCCAGACACGAUGAGGAUUGACAGAUUGAGAGCUCUUUCUUGAUUUCGUGGGUGGUGGUGCAUGGCCGUUCUUAGUUGGUGGAGUGAUUUGUCUGCUUAAUUGCGAUAACGAACGAGACCUUAACCUGCUAAAUAGCCCGUAUUGUUGGCAGUACGUGGCUUCUUAGAGGGACUAUCGGCUCAAGCCGAUGGAAGUUUGAGGCAAUAACAGGCCUGUGAUGCCCUUAGAUGUUCUGGGCCGCACGCGCGCUACACUGACAGAGCCAGCGAGUACCCUUGGCCGGAAGGUCCGGGUAAUCUUGUUAAACCCUGUCGCGCUGGGGAUAGAGCAUUGCAAU
rnacentral:rRNA from 1 species